rnacentral:rRNA from 1 species
UACGUAGGCAGCGAGCGUUGUCGGAGUUACUGGGCGUAAAGCGCGCGUAGGCGGACAUUUAAGUCAGGGGUGAAAUGCCGGGGGCUCAACCUCGGAACUGCCUUUGAUACUGGAUGUCUGGAGUUCGGGAGAGGUGAGUGGAAUUCCGAGUGUAGAGGUGAAAAUUCGUAGAUAUUCGGAAGAACACCAGUGGCGAAGGCGGCUCACUGGACCGGCAUUGACGCUGAGGUGCGAAAGCGUGGGGAGCAAACAGG